GCCCAGAUUUAAGAUGGUCUUCUUACCUCA
rnacentral:piRNA from 1 species